rnacentral:rRNA from 1 species
UACAGAGGGGGCAAGCGUUGUUCGGAAUUACUGGGCGUAAAGGGCGCGUAGGCGGCCUGUUAAGUCGAACGUGAAAUCCCCGGGCUCAACCCGGGAACUGCGUCCGAUACUGGCAGGCUUGAAUUCGGGAGAGGGAUGUGGAAUUCCAGGUGUAGCGGUGAAAUGCGUAGAUAUCUGGAGGAAUACCGGUAGCGAAGGCGGCAUCCUGGACCGACAUUGACGCUGAACGGCGAAAGCUAGGGGAGCAAACGGG